GGACUUUUUAGAACCGGAAAACACACGUUUAAUGUGUUUUUGUGAGAACAACAAUUGGUGGACUAUACCUGGUACAACUUGGACCAUGCAGAUUAUCCGUAUUAACAUUCCGUUUCCGUUUGAAUUUAGAACUGUGUUUUAUUGAAUGCUGUAUAACUGUGUCCGUUUACAUUUAUAUUCUAUGGACCGUACUUUAUAAUUUUGUGUUUCCGCUAUUCCUGGACAUUUAUACCGUGUGGAACUUUUCCGAUGGUUGGACAGUGUGUAAUAUGACAUUUUUGUGACAUUUAUUGACAUUUCAUUUGCAUUGAUUUAUGUUAUUGUUUAUUGUUUUCAAC
rnacentral:lncRNA from 1 species